rnacentral:rRNA from 1 species
ACGAACGCUGGCGGCGUGCCUAAUACAUGCAAGUAGCACGCUGAAGAGAGGAGCUUGCUCUUCUUGGAUGAGUUGCGAACGGGUGAGUAACGCGUAGGUAACCUGCCUUGUAGCGGGGGAUAACUAUUGGAAACGAUAGCUAAUACCGCAUAACAAUGGAUGACACAUGUCAUUUAUUUGAAAGGGGCAAUUGCUCCACUACAAGAUGGACCUGCGUUGUAUUAGCUAGUAGGUGAGGUAAUGGCUCACCUAGGCGACGAUACAUAGCCGACCUGAGAGGGUGAUCGGCCACACUGGGACUGAGACACGGCCCAGACUCCUACGGGAGGCAGCAGUAGGGAAUCUUCGGCAAUGGGGGCAACCCUGACCGAGCAACGCCGCGUGAGUGAAGAAGGGUUUCGGAUCGUAAAGCUCUGUUGUAAGUCAAGAACGGGUGUGAGAGUGGAAAGUUCACACUGUGACGGUAGCUUACCAGAAAGGGACGGCUAACUACGUG